rnacentral:rRNA from 1 species
CCUACUGGAGGCAGCAGUGGGGAAUAUUGGGCAAUGGGCGCAAGCCUGACCCAGCAACGCCGCGUGAAGGAAGAAGGCUUUCGGGUUGUAAACUUCUUUUGUCAGGGAAGAGUAGAAGACGGUACCUGACGAAUAAGCCAUGGCCAACUACGUGCCACCAGCCGCGGUAAUACGUAGGUGGCAAGCGUUGUCCGGAUUUACUGGGUGUAAAGGGCGUGUAGGCGGGUUGGGAAGUCAGAUGUGAAAUCCUGGGGCUUAACCGCAGAACUGCAUUUGAAACUGUUGAUCUUGAGUGCGGGAGAGGCAGGCGGAAUGCCUGGUGUAGCGGUGAAAUGCGUAGAUAUUAGGAGGAACACCAGUGGCGAAGGCGGUCUGCUGGACAGCAACUGACGGUGAGGCACGAAAGCGUGGGGAGCAAACAGGAUUAGAUACCCGGGUAGUC